UACGUAGGGGGCAAGCGUUAUCCGGAUUUAUUGGGCGUAAAGCGCGCGUAGGCGGCCGAUCGCGUCGGAAUGUGAAAGCCUCGGGGCUCAACCCUUGAGAGGCCAUUCGAUACGGGUCGGCGUAGAGGCAGGUAGGGGAAGGUGGAAUUCCUGGUGUAGCGGUGAAAUGCGCAGAUAUCAGGAGGAACACCGGUGGCGAAGGCGGCCUUCUGGGCCUGUCCUGACGCUGGAGGCGCGAA
rnacentral:rRNA from 1 species